UCGCGGCCUAUCAGCUUGUUGGUGAGGUAACGGCUCACCAAGGCGUCGACGGGUAGCUGGUCUGAGAGGAUGAUCAGCCACACUGGGACUGAGACACGGCCCAGACCCCUACGGGAGGCAGCAGUAGGGAAUCUUGCACAAUGGGCGAAAGCCUGAUGCAGCAACGCCGCGUGCGGGAAGAAGGCCCUAGGGUUGUAAACCGCUUUCAGCAGGGAAGAAAAUGACGGUACCUGUAGAAGAAGGUGCGGCCAACUACGUGCCAGCAGCCGCGGUAAGACGUAGGGCGCAAGCGUUGUCCGGAUUUAUUGGGCGUAAAGAGCUCGUAGGCGGCUUGUCGCGUCGACUGUGAAAAACCACGACUCAACCGUGGGACUGCAGUCGAUACGGGCAGGCUAGAGUUCGGUAGGGGAGACUGGAAUUCCUGGUGUAGCGGUGAAAUGCGCAGAUAUCAGGAGGAACACCGGUGGCGAAGGCGGGUCUCUGGGCCGAUACUGACGCUGAGGAGCGAAAGCGUGGGGAGCGAACAGGAUUAGAUACCCUGGUAGUCCACGCUGUAAACGUUGGGCGCUAGGUGUGGGGGGCCUCUCCGGUCCUCUGUGCCGCAGCUAACGCAUUAAGCGCCCCGCCUGGGGAGUACGG
rnacentral:rRNA from 1 species